AAUGAACGCUGGCGGCAUGCCUAACACAUGCAAGUCGAGCGACAACAUGGGGAGAUCGUGCCCUUGAGGGUGGCGAGGGACGGACGGGUGACACGUGCAUCGCCUACCUCUUAGACUUGGGGAAUAACGUGGGACAAGUGCUACUACCGGAUCAUAUAUCGAACCGCAUUGUGCAAUAGUGCAUGACGGUUUUGGUGUCUGUUAUAGACGAUUUGGCGCCGGAUGAUCUAGUUGGUAAGGUAACGGCUUAGCAAGGCUACGAUGCGUAGCCGACCUGAGAGGGUGAUCAGCCACACUGGAACUGAGACACGGUCCAGACUCCUACGGGAGGCAGCAGUGGGGAAUCUUCCGCAAAGGGCGAAAGCCUGAUCGAGCAACACCGCGUGAGUGAUGAAGGCCUUCGGGUCGUAAAGCUCUGUUGUUGGGAAAGAAAAAAAGCAGAUUCAACUAUGCACGUCCUGACGGUACCUAAAGAAAAAGCCCCGGCUAACUCCGUG
rnacentral:rRNA from 1 species